GGGAUGUGGUUAGACCAGGAGACCUGAAGAAUGGCUCUUCUGUUUACAACACAUCCAAUAGGAAUCCAGGGACAUUGUGCAGAGGGGCGCAAAACUUGUGACUUGCCUUUGAGCAAAUGUCCUACACAU
ensembl:snoRNA